rnacentral:lncRNA from 1 species
ACGAACGACGAACAUGAGCAGCAAGCAACGUGCUGCGAGCGCGACCGAUAACCAUGGCCGCGAGUGUGCGCUGCGGGAGACAAACUAGCGACGAGCGUGUGAUGAAGAGACGAGCGUGCAUCCUAAAAUUAGUACAUGGAAGAUGCAUGGGGACAUGCGAGAACGGGAACGGGCCGAAAGGUGAGGUGUGGCUGUGUUCAUUUGGUGCCCCAUGUGCCCCAUGCAGCCUCGACUCCUUCAAUUCUGGAAACAAGGCACUCACCCACGACGACUUCCUUUACCUAAAUGAAUACGGUAUUAACAUACCAAAUGAAAGAAACACAUUAGAGCAACCAGACGUAAAAAAAAAAGCAAAAAACUGGUGACAUUGAGACGGCAUAUUUAGGAUUAAUGUGGACACCGAUUAGGUCCUAGGAAGUUUAUCAUUAAUUGUACAGUGCAGACCCUGGCGUUCUUUGGAUAGCAACUAGCAUCUCCAACCUAACUACGCAAUAAAAAUGUGAUUUUACAUGGUCGUGUGCGGGUAAACGAAUGGGAACACAGGCUUAAGUCAAAGUGAAUAAAUGAAACACAUAAGGCGAAAAUACUAACACCGUCCAACACUGGUGGAGGUGAAGGGUCUAUAAUGAGAGAUGCGCAACAGUAUGAAACACAUAUAAUAAGAAGUGAGACGAAGAGAAUGGUGAACAGGACAAUAUAACACAUGGAACAGUACGACAUUAUACAUAUUAUUAGAACAAAUUGUUACACAUCGGCAUAACUAAAGAACGACACCAAGCAACUAUUUGGUACACAACAAGUAGGAUCAAAGCUUGCGGACACACAGGACACUUGAUAGGGAUUGGACGACGAGACUGGUACAUGGAAAUGGCAAGGACAUGGGCGGUACAGGAGUACAACAAUGAAAACUAAUUACAUGCACGUAAACUAAAUUUAUUGCUAAUACAUAACUUCGAGACUACUAAAGAGGUAACAGGAUAGCUGAUAAGACGACAACCGGGCUGGAGACGACUUCCAACUAACGAGCAAUCCUACACGUCCACUAUGAAGAAGCUGAUGUGCAGGUGGCCAGCGGUCUCACGGAUGAGGACUACAUAUGUGUCGGAUGCACGGAGCCCGUUGAUGUGCACGAAGUCCAGCCA